ACGGCUGCUGACCAGUCACAUGUGGCUGGCAGGCCGCAGCGGCGGCUGCACCAUGGGCUGCCCGAAGUAAAGACAGGCUGGGUGCUAACUCCUGGGGGGCUGCCUGGCAGGGUGCAGGAGGAGUGGAGAGAAAUAGACUGUUCUGCGUCAUUGGGAUAUCGGUAACAGCAACAGCUCAAGUGAAGACAUGGGAUGAGCCAGGCCCAGCUCGAGCCCCAGGACCCCCAUGGAAAAAGGGAAUGUGGGGGAAGGGCCUGUGUCUGGGCAUGGCUCAGAGUCCAGCUGGCCAGAGGGCACAGCCCCUCCAGUUCUGGAGCCAUUCCCAAAGGGGAAAGUUUAGCCAGAACAGCAGGGAAUGAAGACGGAUUCCCUGGAGGGGAAUGAAGAAACAGUUGAGUUUAAGGGAGCUCUCUUUCCUCCCAGCAGGUUUUCUGUUUUCCAGACCCUGCGGGGGCUUGUGCUCUGAGCCCGCCCGAAAGGCACCAUGCUGAGCCCGGCCGUGGGGAGUGAGGGUCGCAAUGCCGUUUACCAGGCUCAAGCCACCAGGGCUCGAUCCCGACUCCGGGAUGGAUGAAGCCAGCCAAGCUCCGGACGUGGAUUUGCAGCAUCAGCACAGGUGGAACAGUGCCGUGCUGCCCCCGUGGCUCUGCGGUUUGGGGGACGGUGACGAUGGCCACUUUUCCUGUAUCGUUUGUGCCCACAGUAACCUGGUCCACCCACUGUUUUGAAAUGGAUUCAUAAACAUAUCAAAACAUU